AUUGAACGCUGGCGGCAGGCCUAACACAUGCAAGUCGAGCGGAUGAAGGGAGCUUGCUCCUGGAUUCUGCGGCGGACGGGUGUGUAAUGCCUAGGACUCUGCCUGGUAGUGGGGGAUAACGUCCGGAAACGGGCGCUAAUACCGCAUACGUCCUGAGGGAGAAAGUGGGGGAUCUUCGGACCUCACGCUAUCGGAUGAGCCUAGGUCGGAUUAGCUAGUUGGUGGGGUAAAGGCCUACCCAGGCGACGAUCCGUAACUGGUCUGAGAGGAUGAUCAGUCACACGGGAACUGAGACACGGUCCAGACUCCUACGGGAGGCAGCAGUCGGGAAUAUUGGACAAUGGGGGAAAGCCUGAUCCAGCCAUGCCGCGUGUGUGAAGAAGGUCUUCGGAUUGUAAAGCACUUUAAGUUGGGAGGAAGGGCAGUAAGUUAAUACCUUGCUGUUUUGACGUUACCAACAGAAUAAGCACCGGCUAACUUCGUG
rnacentral:rRNA from 1 species